rnacentral:rRNA from 1 species
GGAUUCCCCUAGUAACGGCGAGUGAAGCGGGAAGAGCUCAAGCUUAAAAUCUCCGUGCAAGUUUUGCGCGGCGAAUUGUAGUCUAUAGAGGCGUGAUCAGUGUGGGCGCUUGGGGCAAGUUCCUUGGAAGAGGACAGCAUGGAGGGUGAUACUCCCGUUCAUCCCUGAGUUGCUCGUGCGUACGAUCCGUUUUCUUUGAGUCGCGUUGUUUGGGAAUGCAGCGCAAAGUAGGUGGUAAAUUCCAUCUAAAGCUAAAUAUUGGUGCGAGACCGAUAGCGAACAAGUACCGUGAGGGAAAGAUGAAAAGAACUUUGAAAAGAGAGUUAAAGAGUACCUGAAACUGCUGAAAGGGAACCGAAUCGUUUCCAGUGUCUAUAAUCCGUGGUAUAUUUCAUUGGCGAGUGUGUGCGUGCGUGUGCUGUGGCAGCGGCUUUUUUGGCUGCGCUCGGCGUGUGUGCUGUGUGUGCUUGCUGGUGCCCUGUGCUGCGGUGGGACGUCAAGGUCAGUUCGUAUGCUGCGGGAAAUGGCCGCCGAGGAGGUAGGGCUUACGCUUGCGUUUGUCUGUUAUAUCUUGGUGGACGAGUAGUCGCGGUUGGGACUGAGGUGCCUACAACGUGUUUUUGAGUGGGCCUGUGUCUCUGUGUGCGCCGUGUGCGGAUAGCUUGCUAUGCGUGUGUGGUUGUGUGUGGAUUGAUGUGGGUUUUAACUUGUUGCCGUUCGGGACGUUGACGAAAUGGAGCGAUUUGACCCGUCUUGAAACACGGACCAAGGAGUCUAACAUGUGUGCAAGUGUUAGGGUGUGGAAACCCCAGCGCGAAAUGAAAGUGAAGGGCAGCGUAAGUUGUCUGAGGUAGGAAAUGCUGCGGGCUUCGGUCUGCGGUGUGGCACUAUCGACCGAUCAUGAACCUUCGUGGUGAAAGAUUUGAGUUUGAGCACAUAUGUUGGUACCCGAAAGAUGGUGAACUAUGCCUGAGUAGGGUGAAGCCAGGGGAAACUCUGGUGGAAGCUCGUAGCGAUUCUGACGU